rnacentral:rRNA from 1 species
UACGUAGGGGGCAAGCGUUGUCCGGAUUUAUUGGGCGUAAAGAGCGUGUAGGCGGCCACACAGGUCUGCUGUGAAAACUCGAGGCUCAACCUCGAGCUGUCGGUGGAAACCGUGUGGCUAGAGUCCGGAAGAGGAGAGUGGAAUUCCCGGUGUAGCGGUGAAAUGCGCAGAUAUCAGGAGGAAUACCGGUGGUGUAGACGGCUCUCUGGACCGCCACUGACGCUGAGACACGAAAGCGUGGGUAGCAAACAGG